rnacentral:lncRNA from 1 species
UAUAUAUAUAUAUACAGGUAUACAAAUGUGCGUGCGUGUGUGUAUGUAUAUAUGUAUAUGUGUAUAAAAUACAUGGAUUUGUAGUGAUGGAGAGAAAGACUUAUUUAAGUCUGAAAUUUACACUUCGCUGUCACACACAACAGGUGAAACAUUCAUUCCACUUACAUGGACUUUACCGAUUACGAUUCAGGACGGAAUUCGCAACAAACUGAAGACUAGUCGGACACAUUACAAGACAUGAACAGAUAGUGCCAAAGUAGAACUGUAGAUAUGAUGUAUACAAAACCAAAUCAUCGGAUUCUAAAAUAGUUGCAUGAAAAGCAUAAUUUUCGAUUCCAUCGAUUUCCAAAGAUCAAAAAAAAAAUUAAACAGUUUCGAUCUGUCUUGUAGAUUUACUAAUAAGGAUCUUUGUUUUUGUCUUGUUUUCGUUUUUCUUUUUAAAUUUUAUUGAUAUU